rnacentral:rRNA from 1 species
UCCGUAGGUGGAUAAUUAAGUCAGAGGUGAAAUCCUGCAGCUCAACUGUAGAAUUGCCUUUGAAACUGGUUAUCUUGAGUCAUUAUGAAGUGGUUAGAAUGUGUAGUGUAGCGGUGAAAUGCAUAGAUAUUACACAGAAUACCGAUUGCGAAGGCAGAUCACUAAUAAUGUACUGACACUGAUGGACGAAGGCGUGGGUAGCGAACAGGAUUAGAUACCCUGGUAGUCC